CAGUUGACGUAUUGCAGAUUUUUGCUCAUCUGAUUUGUAUGCUGACAUAACUUAUGGCAAGCACUGCUGCCCCUCUUUCUGCUCAAAUGUGUUCUCUGUGAGCCAGCUUUGGUUUGAGGACACGACAUCGCCAAAUCGUCACUGAAACACAGCGGCUUCGUCUGGCAACCGCGGACACGAUGGCACAUCGUUGGGUCACCCAAGCUGAGUCGCCGCAGAUCCGAUCAGGUACCCACCCCCCUGUCUGAUCUAUAACAAACACCAAUUUUAGGCUUACCAUAUCAACAGAUACGGAUCGGAUUAAUUUCCUUCCACUUUCCUAUAUGCUUAAUGAUCGUUGAUAAGUAGAGAUCUCGAGGAUGCGGCAGAUUAUGUUUUGAAAAAUGCAUCAGGAAGAGCCCUCAAAGAUAAGGACAAUAAUGCUCAAAGAUUUGUUGUGGGCUCUGCAACCUAUUUAUUUUCUGCUUUUCAAUUAUGUCUUCCGUCAUUUACUUUUAGACUCAUUCUCAUUCUCUAUCUAAAUAUGUAGUGGCAAUGAAAUCAGAUUUGUUCUCGGGGGUUUGUGCUGAUGAAUUUGAUGUCGAGAUUGUCUAUUCUAUUGGCAAAAAGGCCCCCCUUUAGUUCAUUUGCUUUUGGUUUAAUAUAGUAUCGAUAGCUAUUGCAGUUUUUCCAGUUUGUCUGUCCCUGAUUAUAAGUUUUCGUUGACCACGGCCAAUAGG